rnacentral:rRNA from 1 species
GACGAACGCUGGCGGCGUGCUUAACACAUGCAAGUCGAGCGGUAAGGCCUGCUUCGGUGGGUACACGAGCGGCGAACGGGUGAGUAACACGUGGGUAACCUGCCCUUGAAUGGGGAAUAACCCGGGGAAACCUGGGCUAAUACCGCAUACGCUCCCUUUGGCUCACGCCAGGGGGAGGAAAGGCGCAAGCCGUUCGAGGAGGGGCCCGCGGCCGAUUAGCUAGUUGGUAGGGUAAUGGCCUACCAAGGCUUUGAUCGGAGCCGGCCUGAGAGGGCACACGGCCACACUGGCACUGAAACACGGGCCAGACUCCUACGGGAGGCAGCAGUGGGGAAUCUUGCACAAUGGGGGAAAACCCUGAUGCAGCGACGCCGCGUGAGCGAUGAAGCCCUUUGGGGUGUAAAGCUCUUUUGGCGGGAAAAUAAUGAUGGUACCCGCUGAAUAAGCUGC